UGUGGGGGCUGCCCUCCCACACCAGCCUCUCCCCAGGGCCGGCAGCCUCUUCACUCUCACCGUGGAGCGAGAGCUGGAGGGCGGCAGGCGCCAGCGCUCAGCCCUCAGGAUCCUGGUGUCCCCAGGGGCCCCCGGGCCCUGCCCCAGGCUGGAGUCCAGGGAACCUGGUGCUGUCUGCCUGCCCUGGGUCGUGGAGCGGCUGCUGGAGGGGAACAGCCUGACCUUCCUGCUGCUGUGUGUGUCACUGCCAGGUAGACCCUGGGACUGGGACACACUCUGGAUGCCCCUUCCCUGAGAAUUGCCCCCACCCUGCCCCACACCUGGCACUUUGUCCCUGGCUGCUGCAGCCACUGGAAGCUGGACACCAGCUCCACUCAUCUCCAUUGCACCGGGACCCCCUGUGCUGGUCCCCAUGGCCCCUGCCCAGGGCUCGCUGUUCUCCCAGACACCUCCAGAGAGGAGAUUCUGGCAGCUCUGGGACUGGCUGAGCGGGUGAAGGGGCUGGCCAAGACCAUCUCUGCCACACUCUGGGAUCCUGAGGAGGAGAUCUCAGCGCGCCGGAGGGAGAUCCGAGGGCUGCGGGUGGAGCUGCUGGCUGGAUCCCGCCGCCCUGAGCAGAGGACAGCUGUGGCCCAGCUGCAGAGAGCGCUGAGGGAGCUGCAGCGGGACACAGAGCGCUGGCAGCGGGAGGUGACCGCGCUGGGCCUGAGCCUGGAGGCAGCGCUGCGGGAGCGGGAGGCGGCCGAGUGGGAGCUGGAGGCUCUGCUGCGCAAUCACCAGCAGGAGAUGCAGGCCUGCAGACAGCACCUGCUGCAGGUGCUCCGGGACCAGCAGCGCCUGGCAGAGGAGCAGCGGGAUGCCCUGGAGCGCCGGCACCGGGCGCUGCUGCACGAGGCGCUCCGGGACGCCGUGGAACUCGCCGAGCACAACCAGCAGCUCUGGCACGGCCGACAGGCAGGCACGGCCGAUGGCAGCACACAGACCCCCUGAGCCACGCCCAGGGCGUGGGCACCCCUCCCUGCACCGAGCCACCAGCGAUGCCAGGAGCCCGGCCAGCCCGUCACGAGUUAUACCACGCACAGCCUGCUCCGGCUGCUGCUCCCGAGGGAAAACCCUGCUCGCUGCUGGGAACCUGCCUGUGGGAGCACAGGCUCAGCCUGGUGGGAGGGCUGGCAGCCCCCAGCUGUGGCCACAGGGAAUAAAGUGGGUGCACC
rnacentral:lncRNA from 12 species